rnacentral:rRNA from 1 species
AUGAUGCUGCCCGAUGAUCUUCUCGAGGAGAUCUUCCUCCGCCUCCCGCCGGGCGAGCCCGCGUGCCUCGUGCGCGCCUACCUUGCCAGCAAGUUCUGGCUCGGCCUCCUAUCCGGCGCUCGAUUCCACAGCCGCUACCGGGAGUUUCAUGGUGCUCCCCCCAUGCUGGGCUUCGUUUAUGCCUUGUCCUCGUACACCCAGACGAAGGUGGACAAACCCAUCCCACGCUUUGUCUCCACCACGGAAUUCGCCGCCCGCGUUCCCGAUGACGACUUGGCCAUGGCCGCGUUGACCACGGACUAUAUUGCAUUGGACUGCCACCAUGGCCGCGUUCUACUCGGCGAUCGUAAACACAAUCCGCUUGUCGUUUGGGACCCCAUGGCAGGCUGCCUGACGAAGAUGCAAGCACUCAAAGGACAAAGCAGAACCAGUGCGGCCGCGGUGCUCUGUGCCGUGACCGGCUGUGACCAUUGCGCCUGUCACCACGGCCCAUUCCAGGUUUUCUUCUUCGGCAUGAGCGUUCAUGGUGCUCAUUGUGUUAUACACCUCUCUGUGUUCUCGUCGGAGACACUUGGCUGGAGCGAGCCCCAGACAUGCCUUGGUCUUGAUCUUGACGAUGCUGCAUUCAUCAAGCCAGCGCCCUCUGUCGCCAUCCAAGGCGCACUUUACUUCAUGCAAGGGAGUUUUGAAGAUGAUCACAUAACAGGAUUUCUGAAGUACGGCUUGGGCUCUAAUUGCUUAUCGCUGAUUGAUGCGCCGCCGAUGAGGGGAUCUCUCAUUAUUGGUGCCAAUACUCUCAUGGCUAUGGAGGACGACAGUUUGGGUUUUGCACAAGUGAAAAGGUUAACCAUCUACCUGUGGUCAAGGCAUAUGGGUUCCGAUGGAGUUGCAUCAUGGACUCAGCCUAGAAUCAUUGAUCUCAAGAACCUUCUACCCAUUCAGAAUCCUAGUGGAAGAAUUAAACUGAUUGGAUCUCUGGAGGGUAGUGAUAUCAUUUUCGUGACCACAGACCUUGGCAUCUAUGAGCUUAAUCUAAAGUCGCUACACUGGAAGAAGCUAUGGGGAAAGAAAGAUGUUUGGUGUUUGUUUCCGUGCAUGAGUUUCCCCAGUCCACAAGAAAGGAUGAUUUCUUGUGAUGCGGCUCAUUGA